rnacentral:misc_RNA from 1 species
UCCGAGUUGACCCCGGCAGUCUCAUAUGAGUUCCCACCAUUACGUGCUGGCAACAUACGACGAGGGUUGCGCUCGUUGCGGGACUUAACCCAACAUCUCACGACACGAGCUGACGACAACCAUGCACCACCUGUAACCGAGUGUCCAAAGAGUUCCACAUUUCUGCGGCGUUCUCGGUUAUGUCAAGCCUUGGUAAGGUUCUUCGCGUUGCAUCGAAUUAAUCCGCAUGCUCCGCCGCUUGUGCGGGCCCCCGUCAAUUCCUUUGAGUUUUAGCCUUGCGGCCGUACUCCCCAGGCGGGGCGCUUAAUGCGUUAGCUACGACACGGAAACCGUGGAAAGGUCCCCACAUCUAGCGCCCAACGUUUACGGCGUGGACUAC